UGGGGAAUAUUGCACAAUGGGGGAAACCCUGAUGCAGCGACGCCGCGUGGAGGAAGAAGGUCUUCGGAUUGUAAACUCCUGUUGUUGAGGAAGAUAAUGACGGUACUCAACAAGGAAGUGACGGCUAACUACGUGCCAGCAGCCGCGGUAAAACGUAGGUCACAAGCGUUGUCCGGAAUUACUGGGUGUAAAGGGAGCGCAGGCGGGAAGACAAGUUGGAAGUGAAAUCUAUGGGCUCAACCCAUAAACUGCUUUCAAAACUGUUUUUCUUGAGUAGUGCAGAGGUAGGCGGAAUUCCCGGUGUAGCGGUGGAAUGCGUAGAUAUCGGGAGGAACACCAGUGGCGAAGGCGGCCUACUGGGCACCAACUGACGCUGAGGCUCGAAAGUGUGGGUAGCAAACAGGAUUAGAUACCCUGGUAGUCCACACCGUAAACGAUGAUUACUAGGUGUUGGAGGAUUGACCCCUUCAGUGCCGCAGUUAACACAAUAAGUAAUCCACCUGGGGAGUACGACCGCAAGGUUGAAACUCAAAGGAAUUGACGGGGGCCCGCACAAGCAGUGGAGUAUGUGGUUUAAUUCGACGCAACGCGAGGAACCUUACCAAGUCUUGACAUCCUGCGACGAUGCUGGAAACAGCAUUUUCCUUCGGGACGCAGAGACAGGUGGUGCAUGGUUGUCGUCAGCUCGUGUCGUGAGAUGUUGGGUUAAGUCCCGCAACGAGCGCAACCCUUAUGGUCAGUUACUACGCAAGAGGACUCUGGCCAGACUGCCGUUGACAAAACGGAGGAAGGUGGGGAUGACGUCAAAUCAUCAUGCCCUUUAUGACUUGGGCUACACACGUACUACAAUGGCGUUAAACAAAGAGAAGCAAGACCGCGAGGUGGAGCAAAACUCAGAAACAACGUCCCAGUUCGGACUGCAGGCUGCAACUCGCCUGCACGAAGUCGGAAUUGCUAGUAAUCGUGGAUCAGCAUGCCACGGUGAAUACGUUCCC
rnacentral:rRNA from 2 species